rnacentral:tRNA from 1 species
CCCCCAGUAAGCAUAGUUUAAACAAAACAUUAGAAUGUGAACCUAAAAACAGGAGCCUCAACCAUCC